GCUUUACCUAAAAACAAUUAAGAAGUGAAUUUGCCUUGGUGGAAGAGGUGUAGGGGAGUGUGAGGCUGCUGAAUUAUGGUGGCAAGGGCAACGUGCCCAAAGAUUGGGGAAACCAUGCAAUGAACACUUUCUCGGCAGAGCAGUGGAUGGAACUGAGCCAAAAAAGUAAGCGGCGACUAGACACUGUGGACAGUACUAUGUUCCUCACAGUUGCCAUAUUCAGCUGUGUAGCUAUACCCUGUGACCAGCUGCUCUUCCUCAUGGAGGAAAACAGCUCACUGGUGAAGUUCUUCAGGACUUCUAUGUUAUCCUGCCACUAUUCCACUAUUUACCACUCACAUGUGAGCUAAUUCAUGUUUACAAAAACAUGACUGUAGCAGAACAGAAUGUUCUCUGUGUGUAUGUGUGUGUGUAUAAACUCACACAACCUUUGCAAGCUAGGUGUUAUUCUCAUUUCCUAAAUAAGGAAAUGGAGGCUCGGAGAAUAACAAAUCUGACCUAGUUCACACAGAUAUGUGUUAAGCUGAGAUUUGAACCUUGUAUCGUCAGGUUUUAAGAUCGAUGCUCUUUCCGCCCUGUCUUGUCAUUUACUAGGAAACCAGCUUCCACAUUUUAGAAAUUUAGACCUACACCUCCAAGUUGGUAAGCAGUCAGGCCCUGGCGAAACUGGACUGCGUAGUCAACACUGUCUUUCAAACUAAAGAUUGGUUCAAGAUGCUUUUUUUCCAUGGUGGAGUCUUGGUUCCUUGGAUCCCCCAGCAACUCAGCCUCAGCCUAUUCAGAGCUGGCUUCAGAAGUCCAUGACACCGACAGAACAGAGACUUCUCACUUCUCACAGAGAUCUAGGAAGAGAAAAUGUUUCUGACCCAUCUUGAGCCAAUUCGAACAGGCUCCUUUUCUUAUUAACAGAGUGAUUAAGAAAUUGUCUUUCAGAAAAUAUGCAAAGUUACAUAGCCAGAGCAUGUGCAGAAGAAGAAAUAUUGACCUGAAAUGACUGAGGAACCAAAGAUUCUCCUCCCCCUGGAACCAAAGGACCAGAACACGACUGGAACUUAAAAGUCGGACUCUUACCAGAAGCGAGGGGUCCAUCAUUCAGGAAGAUCCACUGUUAAAAUUCUUUCCCCACCCUAUCAUAAAUGUUUAGAACCCGGUCAUAAAUGUUUAGAACCCUGUCAACCAUAAAUGCUUGAAGCUCACCAAUCAAGACCUGUCCCACCAGCGUUUCCAUGUGCCAGCCUGUUCUCCCCAACCUCUUAAAUUUCACCUCAAAUCCUGAAUUGGGGAGACAGAGCUGAGGCCACAUGCCCCCUGGCUCCCUGCUGAUCAAUCUUGC
rnacentral:lncRNA from 1 species